rnacentral:sRNA from 2 species
CGGACGCCCCCGCCGAAUCCGUACCGCCCUCACGGGUGUCCGGAACCGGGGACCCACCAGCAGCACCGGGGUGAAUCGGUCCUUCCCCACGGGACCGUAGGGCAGCCUUCCGUUCCGCCCGAACCCGACAGCUAACCCGGUAGGCGGUCCACGGAAGGAGAU